AUACCAGGUUUCCAAAGCGAAACGCUUUUCGUGUUUGCAUGAGAAAGCUUUUUGCCUUGGAAACCACCAGACAUGAGAAAGUAGCGAUUUACGAAAUAAAUCAGCGGAUUUCGAAUGGCUGGAGGAUUGUGGGAGCAGCUUUGCUGCGGAACAAUCCGUAAGUAUC
rnacentral:sRNA from 1 species